rnacentral:lncRNA from 1 species
ACAGCUUUGGACAAAAGUCUAUAGCCAGUGCAUUCGUAACUCCCCAUGCACAAGAGCUGACUGGAGCUCUGGGAAGACAUUUUACUCAUUUGCUUUCUUCUUUCUUAUACUCUUCUAGUUCUGUUCUCAGGUGUCUACCACCUAUUAGAAUUUCACCUGUAUGGUGCUGUACUUGAGAACAUCCCAAGGCUUGUCAGCUGGCCUAGGCCUCAUAAAAGACAGCUCU